AAAGAGGUAGUUAAAUUAUAACUUUAGUAUGUCAUGCUAACAUUAUUAGUUUCAUUCUAAUCCCCUUUG
rnacentral:tRNA from 1 species